UCGGUUGCUUAUCGAUUAGCUUUGCCUCCAGAGUUACAAAAAAUCCAUGAUGUUUUUCAUGUUUCCAUGCUACAGAGAUACAAAUUGGAUCCUUUUCAUAUCAUUUCCACUGAAGAUAUAGAGGUUCGACCUGAUUUAUCUUAUGAAGCCAGUUCAGAUAUUAGCUCGAGAAAUAAAAAGGUUAAGAAAUAAACGGGUUCCUUUAGUAAAAGUAUUGUGGAGAAAAUCAUAAUGUAGAGGAAGCAAUUUGGGAACCGGAGGAAACAAUAAGAGCUCAG
rnacentral:lncRNA from 1 species